UUUGAAAUCCCACUAUAGUAAUGCCAAUAAAAAUGGAAAACGAGAGACCCAAAGUAAUGAGAAAAUGACUUGUAACUGUGAAGCUAUAAAGUAUCAUACCCCGGGGAUUACAAAAUAACGAAAAAGUAAAAGUGACCGAGAUGCGAGGGGAAAACUUUUGUUUAACAUUUUUGGAAAGACCACCUAUUUGUUCGUUUACCGGGUUCAGCACGAAAUCAUAAAUAAGCUCUACCAAGGAUUGCCAUGCAUUUGGUACUAAGUUUCCUCCUCCCUUUUUAGUAACAAAAAUAAACCAAAAGUAGGACCAAACUGAGAGUUAGUAGCAUAAACGAAGAUGGAUUUGUGAAUGAGAAAUAUAACAUUCCUAUUUUCAUAGGAAUCAAUGGGAUUAUUUCAAAUUGUUCAAGUGGGCUGGAGACGAGAUCAUUCGAUAGAUCUUUAUAGGCUUCUUCCCUACUCCGUUUUGCUGCAAAUCUUCCAAAAGGUAUUCAAGAAAGGCGAUAUUGUUGCUUUCCCCAUGUAUAGCUUCGGAAGCUUCCAUAACUUUUUGGGCACUCUCCUUAGGCAUCAAGGCUCCUAAUUUCAGUCGUAUAUCAUAUUAAAGCUCCACUAUACGUUCACUGCAAGGAUUAAGGCUCGGAUGAUCCAUAAUUGUUGUCGUGGAUUGACUCGCAUUUGUAUACGAUGUAACACUGGAAUUUAAACUAUCCUCAUCAAAUAAAAAUAUACGUCGAAACAUUGUGAUUGAGAUAAAGAUUCCCUCAAUACAGCUUAACUCCGUCAAGCCUGUACGAGUAGUGAAGAAGUAUAGAGCACUUUGGUUGGUUGUUGACCAACGGAAAGUAUGGGAGAAAAAAAGAUGCACAAACGAAAAAGGGCUAAAAAAAGGACGAAGUCAUUUCAUAUAUAAAAAGAGCGGUUGCAGAAUGUAUGGGAGAAAAAAAGAUGCACAAACAAAAAAUGGCUAAAAAAAGGACGAAGUCAUUUCAUAUAUAAAAAGAGCGGUACACUGAAUACGAACCCAAUAUCAAAGAACUAAAGAGGAAGCUAGUCGAUCAUUCAACAACAGGAAUCUACCCUAGGAUCCAACCUGCCAGCUUUCUUCUCUUAUGAUAUUUCGAAUAGCGAGAAAGUGAAAUAAUGGGGAAUAUAAUGGAGCAUACUAAUA
rnacentral:lncRNA from 1 species